AGCAGUAGGGAAUCUUCCGCAAUGGACGAAAGUCUGACGGAGCAACGCCGCGUGAGCGAAGAAGGCCUUCGGGUCGUAAAGCUCUGUUGUCAGGGAAGAACAAGUGCCAUAGUAACUGAUGGCACCUUGACGGUACCUGACCAGAAAGCCACGGCUAACUACGUGCCAGCAGCCGCGGUAAUACGUAGGUGGCAAGCGUUGUCCGGAAUUAUUGGGCGUAAAGCGCGCGCAGGCGGUCCUUUAAGUCUGAUGUGAAAGCCCACGGCUCAACCGUGGAGGGUCAUUGGAAACUGGGGGACUUGAGUGCAGAAGAGGAAAGUGGAAUUCCACGUGUAGCGGUGAAAUGCGUAGAGAUGUGGAGGAACACCAGUGGCGAAGGCGACUUUCUGGUCUGUAACUGACGCUGAGGCGCGAAAGCGUGGGGAGCAAACAGGAUUAGAUACCCUGGUAGUCCACGCCGUAAACGAUGAGUGCUAAGUGUUAGAGGGUUUCCGCCCUUUAGUGCUGCAGCUAACGCA
rnacentral:rRNA from 1 species